AACGAACGCUGGCGGCAUGCCUAACACAUGCAAGUCGAACGAGACCUUCGGGUCUAGUGGCGCACGGGUGCGUAACGCGUGGGAACCUGCCCUUAGGUUCGGAAUAACUCCCCGAAAGGGGUGCUAAUACCGGAUAAUGUCUUCGGACCAAAGAUUUAUCGCCUUGGGAUGGGCCCGCGUUGGAUUAGCUAGUUGGGAGGGUAAAAGCCUACCAAGGCGACGAUCCCUAGCUGGUCUGAGAGGAUGAUCAGCCACACUGGGACUGAGACACGGCCCAGACUCCUACGGGAGGCAGCAGUGGGGAAUAUUGGACUAUGGGCUAAGGCCUGAUCCCGCACUGCCGCGUGAGUGAUGAAGGCCUUAGGGUUGUACAGCUCUUUUACCCGGCGUGAUACUGACGGUACCGGGAGAAUAAGCUCCGGCUAACUCCGUG
rnacentral:rRNA from 1 species